rnacentral:rRNA from 1 species
CAGUAGCCGCGGUAAUACGUAGGGUGCAAGCGUUAAUCGGAAUUACUGGGCGUAAAGCGUGCGUAGGCGGUUCGUUAAGUCUGUUGUGAAAGCCCCGGGCUCAACCUGGGAAUGGCAAUGGAUACUGGCGAGCUAGAGUGUGUCAGAGGAUGGUGGAAUUCCCGGUGUAGCGGUGAAAUGCGUAGAGAUCGGGAGGAACAUCAGUGGCGAAGGCGGCCAUCUGGGACAACACUGACGCUGAGGCACGAAAGCGUGGGGAGCAAACAGGAUUAGAUACCCCAGUAGUCCCUGUCUCUUAUAA